rnacentral:lncRNA from 1 species
CGGGGAUGCUGGUUGUGAGACAGGGCUGCGGCAGGGCUGGGCUGUGGGGCUGAGGAGCAGGGCUGGGGGCUGGGGGCUGGGGGCUGUGUGCUGGGCCCCCACGGGGGCUCUGCGGCAGGGCAGCCUCCGACGCGGUGUUCCCGAAGGCAGCCCUGCUCCUGAGGGGCUGGAAGCAGAGGAAGGGAAAUCCGCCUUGUCCCGGGGGUAACCUCCUAAACCCAAGCGGAGAACUGAGGCUGCUUCGGGCUGUUUAACGCAACAAAAGCCUUCGCUUUCGGACACUGUUGAAAUAACGCAGGGCUCAGACACUUCCCCUCCUUCAUGGAAACGGAUCGUCGUGCUUCAGAGUCUGCCCUGCCGCUUUCGGCCGAAAAAGGGCCGAGGAGCUAUGGAGCGGGCGUGAACCGAACUGCCCUCCAGCUCUCAGCUCACAGAGACGUGGGAAGUCGCAAUCAUGAAAGAAACGAACGUGGGAAAUGAGCGCAGAAGCCCGGAGCGGCUCAGACGGCUCCCACAGCCCGCAGAGCCCGGCGCUGUGCGCUCCUGGCACCGCCCGGCCGUGCGGCUCUCGCUGCCGGCUGUUGUCUCCCAGCCCUUUCCGCCCCGCUGCUCAGGGCUCGGUCCGAAUCCUUUUGCUCGACAGCGAAAGAACAAAAAUGAGAGAUCUGAGCGCUGUGUUCGCUGUUGGGAACCGUGUUUAAAAAUACCCACUUCGAGACCAAACACGCCGUGGAGGAAAUCGAAUUGCUGAGCUUGUGGCUACCAGUGGAGUGUUAGGAGGCACGUGUUAACAGGGCACAUGCAGUUCACUGAACCCCGAGCACUGAAAUGUAACUCAUCUCCUGUGAGAUCUUACAUAAUUCUCCCUGUCAGAAGAGCAUGUUGCCAUUUGGAGAUGGAUGGAUGUGGACCUGGUCUGUGUACAGCCCCUCUCACGUGAACUGAACCUGAUAAAUUCAGGCCGAUGUUUGAAAAAAAAGGCCGUGAAAGUGUGGCCACAGUCACAGCGUUUUCAGAUACCUUUGAACUGUCAGCAGGCUCCAUUUCUGAUUUCCAUCAUCCCUUUAUGAUUAUUAUCACUGCUCACAAUUGCAAACUCUUCCCAAAACCUACAGAAGUCACCUGCCUUGAAGUCUUCUUUCCCGUGCUGGCAUUUCCUUUUUGUGAGGAGUGGCUGUUGGAGCUGGGGCUGUUUAGGCUGGGGAAAGGAGACUGAGGGGAGACCUUAUUGCUCUCUUUCAGUAUCUGAAAGGUGCUUACAGCGAGAGCGGGGUAGGUCUCUUCUCACUGGCGACAGGUGACAGGAUGAGGAGAAAUGGCCUCCAGUUGUGCCAGGGUAAGUUUGGGUUGGAUAUCAGGAAACACUUCUUUACAGAAAGGGCUGCUAAACACUGGAAUAGGCUCCCCAGGGAGGUGGCUGAGUCACCAUCAAUGGACGUGUUUAAAGACCGUUUGAGUGUGGUGCUCAGGGACGUGAUUUAGCAGGGGUUGUUAGGGUAGGAUGGUUAGGCUGUGGUUGGACUCGAUGAUCUUUAAGGUCUUUUCCAACCUGAGCGAUUCUAUGAUUCUGUGAUUCUAUGGCGAAGCACAAGCAGCAUGGAGCUAUUUUCUCUGUAAUAUCACAAGCACGUACAACCCUUUUAACGGGCAAGCGUAGUUCAUGUGCUGAAUAAUGCCAAUCUUCGUGCGUUUCGCUGUUUUCCAAUGGAAUCUCUUCGGAAGCGGCCGUCGUUCUUUUCUCCGGAGUUCGGUGCCCCCUGCUGGCCGCUCUGCUGCCGGGGAUGCCCGCCGUCCCCGCGGCUCAGGAGCUGCCCAGCCCGGCCUGCCUCCCAGGCGGCCGCAGGAGAAGCUGGGGGUGCCUUCCAGCUCCUGGGAGGUGCUGCUUAAAGAUGCCUUUGAAUUCUGUUUUAUUUUCAUUCCUUUUUGUUCCCUAUUCGCUGCGAGGAAGCUGGACUGGAUGACCUUUAAUGCCGCCUUCCGACUCAAACGAUUCUGGGAUGAAUCUGUGAUUUGACUUUUGGGUUGCAUGAGGAGUCUUGGCUGGAUAUUUGAUGUCUUUUUGUCAGCACAGCGCUUCAUUAAACAGAAAAAAAGAGCCACCCGGAUGAGUAGUUAUGUUGAUCAUCUCAUCUGUGCUGCGCCCUGAAAGUACCAUCAGCCCCAACCCUUCAAAGCAGUUUGACAGACUUAAUACUGAAAUGCUCACUCAGGAUGAGUCUUUUGCAACAAGGAUGAAGAAAUCCCUAAAGCAAACAUGCUAUGAUGUGUUCGUGAAUUGUGUAACUUCCACUUUGUUACCAGUAAAGUAAGAUUCUUUAAAAAACAGUGUCAUCAGGUUCUCUUUGUUGAUUGGUUGGCUAUAUUAAGAAACAUCAACCCAUCCUUUAAAUACAGUGUUUGCUGUGACAGUAUUUGACAGUAUUCUCUGUAGGGCAGAAACAACGACCUAAGAAAGGUGAUGCAGCAACAAUAUUUGAAGAAACCAGUCCCAUACUGAAUAUCAGGACAGAGAAGACUGAUGCUGGAAACUGCUGUCCUGUAAGUCUAACACUUCUAUCUCGUGUAAAAUGUCUGUGAAGUGAGUUGUCCAUAUUAAGAGAGAGAACCACUUUCUUAACUCCCAUAUGACAGCUGAUCUAUGAGCAAAAGUGGCAUGGACUUAUGCAGGAUAGCUGUCACCAUUGGUAGUAUCCCACUAGCAGACAAUGGCUGGAGAAACAUAGACAAUGUGGAUAGAUGUUCAGUACAGUGUUCUAUGCUCCAUUUCACUCACAAAAUUAAGGCAUUCAGUGUAGAAAAUGAAAUCUGUUAUGGACUGAAUAUUGACCAUAAAUAAUGCUCAAGAUGAUAAAGCAGAAAUAUAGGACACUGCAGGAAUCUUGUAAUGCCCGAACUUGGUUUACACAUUCAUUUUUGGAUGUAUAAUAAAAAUCAAAAGCAAAGCGCUCCCAGUUUCAGAAGAUUCUAAUCCUGAAAUGAGGUGAAAUGAGAAAUGAAAAUGGCAAAAAUCAGGAAAACAGGGGUAAGACAGAAGAAAAAAAGGAG